UGUUCUGUGGCUUAGUUGGUUAAAGCGCCCAAAUAGUGAUACAGAGCCGUGGGUUUGAAUCCCACCAAAACAA
rnacentral:tRNA from 1 species